rnacentral:rRNA from 1 species
AUUGAACGCUGGCGGAAUGCUUUACACAUGCAAGUCGAACGGCAGCACGGACUUCGGUCUGGUGGCGAGUGGCGAACGGGUGAGUAAUGUAUCGGAACGUGCCCAGUCGUGGGGGAUAACGUAGUGAAAAUUACGCUAAUACCGCAUACGAUCUAUGGAUGAAAGCGGGGGAUCGCAAGACCUCGCGCGAUUGGAGCGGCCGAUAUCAGAUUAGGUAGUUGGUGGGGUAAAGGCCCACCAAGCCAACGAUCUGUAGCUGGUCUGAGAGGACGACCAGCCACACUGGAACUGAGACACGGUCCAGACUCCUACGGGAGGCAGCAGUGGGGAAUUUUGGACAAUGGUCGAAAGCCUGUUCCAGCCAUUCCGCGUGCAGGAUGAAGGCCCUCGGGUUGUAAACUGCUUUUGUACAGAACGAAAAGGUUUCUACUAAUACUAGGAGCUCAUGACGGUACUGCAAGAAUAAGCACCGGCUAACUACGUGCCAGCCGCCGCAGUAA